rnacentral:rRNA from 1 species
AACGAACGCUGGCGGCAUGCUUAACACAUGCAAGUCGAACGGGAUCCUGGCUUCGGUCAGGUGAGUGGCGGACGGGUGAGUAACGCGUGGGAACCUGCCUAUUGGUUCGGAACAACCGCGGGAAACUGCGGCUAAUACCGGACCCGCCCCUGGGCCAGCAGGGGGAAAGAUUUAUCGCCAUUGGCGGGGCCCGGGUCCGAUUAGGUAGUUGGCGGGGAAACGGCCAACCAAGCCAUCGAUCGGUAGCUGGUCGGAGAGGAUGAUCAGCCACACUGGGACGGAGAUACGGCCCAGACUCCUACGGGAGGCAGCAGUGGGGAAUAUUGGACAAUGGGGGCAACCCUGAUCCAGCAAUGCCGCGUGAGUGAUGAAGGCCUUCGGGUUGUAAAGCUCUUUUGCCAGGGACGAUGAUGACGGUACCUGGAGAAUAAGCCCCGGCUAACUUCGUGCCAGCAGCCGCCGUAAUAC